GGCUCAAGCUCAGGUUCAGAUUCUGAAUCAGAGUCGGUGCCUGAAAAUCCAUCAGAUUCAGGAUCAGCCAUUGCAGACUUGUAUCCACACACAAAGACACUUGCACUCUUUGAGCUGUGAGACAACAAGAAUUCUUUCUCAAAUACCAGAUCAAAUGAUGUUUGUGGGAACUUCUCUCCAGAUAGGGUUCCAAGUACUAGUUUCUGAUCAUCAACUUUGGUAUAAAGAUACACAUUUUCGCUUGCUUUCUUGGUCUCACCAAGUGCCGCCUGAGAGAUAUGC
rnacentral:misc_RNA from 1 species